AUUGAACGCUGGCGGCAGGCCUAACACAUGCAAGUCGAACGAGUGGCGGACGGGUGAGUAAUGUCUGGGAAACUGCCUGAUGGAGGGGGAUAACUACUGGAAACGGUAGCUAAUACCGCAUACCAUCAGAUGUGCCCAGAUGGGAGAAGCUUGUUGUUGGGGUAAGGGCUUACCAAGGCGACGAUCCCUACCUGGUCUGAGAGGAUGACCGCCCAAACGGGAACUGAGACACGAGCCAGACUCCUACGGGAGGCAGCAGGGGGGAAUAUUGCACAAUGGGCGAAAGCCUGAUGCAGCCAGGCCGGGUGUAUGAAGAAGGCCUUCGGGUUGUAAAGUACUUUCAGCGGGGAGGCGUUACCCGCAGAAGAAGCACCGGCUAACUCCGUGCCAGCAGCCGCGUAAUAC
rnacentral:rRNA from 1 species